AUGAUACACCCUCCGUCCCAAAAUUCUUGUCUUAGAUUUGUCUAGAUACAGAUGUAUCUAAUAUUAAACAUGACUUGACACAUCCGUAUCUAAACAAAUAUAAGACAAGUAUUUUGGGACAGAGGGAGUACAAA
rfam:Triticum aestivum genome assembly, contig: Triticum_aestivum_CS42_TGACv1_scaffold_112063_2AS